UACGUAGGGGGCAAGCGUUGUCCGGAUUUAUUGGGCGUAAAGAGCGUGUAGGCGGUUUGGUAGGUCCGCUGUGAAAACUCGAGGCUCAACCUCGAGACGCCGGUGGAAACCAUCAGGCUAGAGUCCGGAAGAGGAGAGUGGAAUUCCUGGUGUAGAGGUGAAAUUCGUAGAUAUUCGGAAGAACACCAGUGGCGAAGGCGACUUACUGGACACAUAUUGACGCUGAGGUGCGAAAGCGUGGGGAGCAAACAGG
rnacentral:rRNA from 1 species